AUACGUAGGUGGCAAGCGUUGUCCGGAUUUACUGGGUGUAAAGGGCGCGUAGGCGGGUGUGCAAGUCAGGUGUGAAAUCCCUGGGCUCAACCCAUGAACUGCACUUGAAACUGCAUAUCUUGAGUAUCGGAGAGGCAAGCGGAAUUCCGGGUGUAGCGGUGAAAUGCGUAGAUAUACGGAGGAACACCAGUGGCGAAGGCGGCUGGCUGGACGACAACUGACGCUGAGGCGCGAAAGCGUGGGGAGCAAACAGGAUUAGAUUCCCUGGUAGUCCACGCUGUAAACGAUGAAUGCUAGGUGUGGGGGGACAGACCCCCUCCGUGCCGGAGUUAACACAUUAAGUAUUCCACCUGGGGAGUAUGGCCGCAAGGGGGAAACUCAAAUGAAUUGACGGGG
rnacentral:rRNA from 1 species